AUCUGGGGCCAUACCACAAUACACUUACCGCAUCCCGUCUGAUCUGCGCAGUCAAACAUUGUAGGGCCGAGUCAGUAGCGCGGUGGGGGACCACGCGGGAAUCCU
rnacentral:rRNA from 1 species